rnacentral:rRNA from 1 species
GAUGAACGCUGGCGGCGUGCCUAAUACAUGCAAGUCGAGCGAAUGGAUUAAGAGCUUGCUCUUAUGAAGUUAGCGGCGGACGGGUGAGUAACACGUGGGUAACCUGCCCAUAAGACUGGGAUAACUCCGGGAAACCGGGGCUAAUACCGGAUAACAUUUUGAACCGCAUGGUUCGAAAUUGAAAGGCGGCUUCGGCUGUCACUUAUGGAUGGACCCGCGUCGCAUUAGCUAGUUGGUGAGGUAACGGCUCACCAAGGCAACGAUGCGUAGCGGACCUGAGAGGGUGAGCGGCCACACUGGGACUGAGACACGGCCCAGACUCCUACGGGAGGCAGCAGUAGGGACUCUUCCGCAAUGGACGAAAGUCUGACGGAGCAACGCCGCGUGAGUGAUGAAGGCUUUCGGGUCGUAAAACUCUGUUGUUAGGGAAGAACAAGUGCUAGUUGAAUAAGCUGGCACCUUGACGGUACCUAACCAGAAAGCCACGGCUAACUACGUGCCAGCCGCCGCUGUAA